AUGAACGCUGGCGGCGUGCCUAAUACAUGCAAGUCGAACGAGUUCUCGUUGAUGAUCGGUGCUUGCACCGAGAUUCAACAUGGAACGAGUGGCGGACGGGUGAGUAACACGUGGGUAACCUGCCCUUAAGUGGGGGAUAACAUUUGGAAACAAAUGCUAAUACCGCAUAAUUAGUUGAAACCACAUGGUUUCAACUUGAAAGAUGGCUCUGCUAUCACUUUAGGAUGGACCCGCGGCGUAUUAGCUAGUUGGUGAGAUAAUAGCCCACCAAGGCGAUGAUACGUAGCCGACCUGAGAGGGUAAUCGGCCACAUUGGGACUGAGACACGGCCCAGACUCCUACGGGAGCAGCAGUAGGAAUC
rnacentral:rRNA from 1 species